rnacentral:rRNA from 1 species
GAUGAACGCUGGCGGCGUGCCUAAUACAUGCAAGUCGAGCGAACGGACGAGAAGCUUGCUUCUCUGAUGUUAGCGGCGGACGGGUGAGUAACACGUGGAUAACCUACCUAUAAGACUGGGAUAACUUCGGGAAACCGGAGCUAAUACCGGAUAAUAUUUUGAACCGCAUGGUUCAAAAGUGAAAGACGGUCUUGCUGUCACUUAUAGAUGGAUCCGCGCUGCAUUAGCUAGUUGGUAAGGUAACGGCUUACCAAGGCAACGAUGCAUAGCCGACCUGAGAGGGUGAUCGGCCACACUGGAACUGAGACACGGUCCAGACUCCUACGGGAGACAGCAGUAGGGAAUCUUCCGCAAUGGGCGAAAGCCUGAAGGAGCAACGCCGCGUGAGUGAUGAAGGUCUUCGGAUCGUAAAACUCUGUUAUUAGGGAAGAACAUAUGUGUAAGUAACUGUGCACAUCUUGACGGUACCUAAUCAGAAAGCCACGGCUAACUACGUG